GUGACUGUUCCUGGUGAUGAUUGCAUUUGUCAUUUGUGCAGUGCAACCGUAGACAGUCACGCACAUCAAAACACAUGGUUCCUGCCGACAGAGUCUGUAGAGUUAUCAGAUUUUCUGUGCGAUGGCUCCAUACACC
ensembl:scaRNA